AAACUUAAAGGAAUUGACCGGGGGCCCGCACAAGCGGUGGAGCAUGUGGUUUAAUUCGAAGCAACGCGAAGAACCUUACCAGGUCUUGACAUCCCUUGACCACUUGAGAGAUCAAGCUUUCCCUUCGGGGACAAGGUGACAGGUGGUGCAUGGUUGUCGUCAGCUCGUGUCGUGAGAUGUUGGGUUAAGUCCCGCAACGAGCGCAACCCUUAUUGUUAGUUGCCAUCAUUCAGUUGGGCACUCUAGCGAGACUGCCGGUGACAAACCGGAGGAAGGUGGGGAUGACGUCAAAUCAUCAUGCCCCUUAUGACCUGGGCUACACACGUGCUACAAUGGACGGUACAAUGAGUUGCGAGACCGCGAGGUUUAGCUAAUCUCUUAAAGCCGUUCUCAGUUCGGAUUGUAGGCUGCAACUCGCCUACAUGAAGCCGGAAUCGCUAGUAAUCGUGGAUCAGAACGCCACGGUGAAUACGUUCCCGGGCCUUGUACACACCGCCCGUCACACCACGAGAGUUUGUAACACCCAAAGUCGGUGAGGUAACCUUCGGGAGCCAGCCGCCUAAGGUGGGAUAGAUGAUUGGGGUGAAGUCGUAACAAGGUAGCCGUA
rnacentral:rRNA from 1 species